rnacentral:lncRNA from 1 species
GUGUUUUUGGUAUAAAAUGAUGUUUGAAAUAAAUAGAGUGUGAGGGUGAGAAAAGAAUUCAUUAAUUAUACUUUUGUGUUUGACAAGACCUUCAGACUUGUGCCUAUUUACCAACAUAAAUAUGAGGGAUCAAAACCUCGUAGUUCGUGGUAUCAUUUUCAAAGUGAGUUGAUUGCUUUUAACAAAAAUUUAAAUUUUUAAAGAGGUACAAAGGGCCUAAAU